GCUUGUCUCAAAGAUUAAGCCAUGCAUGUCUAAGUGUAAAUAAGUCUAUACUGUGAAACUGCGAAUGGCUCAUUAAAUCAGUUAUCGUUUAUUUGAUGAUCUCUUACUACUUGGAUAACCGUAGUAAUUCUAGAGCUAAUACAUGCAUCCACUCCCAACUGCUUGUCGGACGGGAGGUAUUUAUUAGAUGGAAACCAAUGCGGGCUUGCCCGGUGUUGUGGUGAAUCAUGAUAACUUUGCGGAUCGCAUGCCCUCGCGGCGGCGAUGAAUCAUUCAAGUUUCUGCCCUAUCAGCUUUGGAUGGUAGGGUAUUGGCCUACCAUGGCUUUGACGGGUAACGGAGAAUUGGGGUUCGAUUCCGGAGAGGGAGCCUGAGAGAUGGCUACCACAUCCAAGGAA
rnacentral:rRNA from 1 species